AGCAGCAGCCGCGGUAACACGUAGGGUGCGAGCGUUAAUCGGAAUUACUGGGCGUAAAGCGUGCGCAGGCGGUUCGUUAAGACAGAUGUGAAAUCCCCGGGCUUAACCUGGGAACUGCAUUUGUGACUGGCGAGCUAGAGUAUGGCAGAGGGGGGUAGAAUUCCACGUGUAGCAGUGAAAUGCGUAGAGAUGUGGAGGAAUACCGAUGGCGAAGGCAGCCCCCUGGGCCAAUACUGACGCUCAUGCACGAAAGCGUGGGGAGCAAACAGGAUUAGAUACCCGCGUAGUCCCUGUCUCUUAUAC
rnacentral:rRNA from 1 species